UUCGGGUUGAUCCCGCCGGACCCGACUGCUAUCAGAGUGGGACUAAGCCAUGCGAGUCAACAUAGCAAUAUGUGGCAUACGGCUCAGUAACACGUAGUCAACAUGCCCAGGGGACGUGGAUAACCUCGGGAAACUGAGGAUAAACCGCGAUAGGUCAUCACUUCUGGAAUGGGUAAUGACUUAAAUCUAUAUGGCCCCUGGAUUGGACUGCGGCCGAUCAGGCUGUUGGUGAGGUAAUGGCCCACCAAACCUGUAACCGGUACGGGCUCUGAGAGGAGGAGCCCGGAGAUGGGCACUGAGACAAGGGCCCAGGCCCUAUGGGGCGCAGCAGGCGCGAAACCUCUGCAAUAGGCGAAAGCUUGACAGGGUUACUCUGAGUGAUUUCCGUUAAGGAGAUCUUUUGGCACCUCUAAAAAUGGUGCAGAAUAAGGGGUGGGCAAGUCUGGUGUCAGCCGCCGCGGUAAUACCAGCACCCCGAGUGGUCGGGACGUUUAUUGGGCCUAAAGCAUCCGUAGCCGGUUCUACAAGUCUUCCGUUAAAUCCACCUGCUUAACAGAUGGGCUGCGGAAGAUACUAUAGAGCUAGGAGGCGGGAGAGGCAAGCGGUACUCGAUGGGUAGGGGUAAAAUCCGUUGAUCCAUUGAAGACCACCAGUGGCGAAGGCGGCUUGCCAGAACGCGCUCGACGGUGAGGGAUGAAAGCUGGGGAAGCAAACCGGAUUAGAUACCCGGGUAGUCCCAGCUGUAAACGAUGCAGACUCGGUGAUGAGUUGGCUUAUUGCUAACUCAGUGCCGCAGGGAAGCCGUUAAGUUUGCCGCCUGGGGAGUACGGUCGCAAGACUGAAACUUAAAGGAAUUGGCGGGGGAGCA
rnacentral:rRNA from 1 species